rnacentral:lncRNA from 1 species
UAGCAUGCUUAAACCUCUUAGGGCUUGUUUAGUUCAAGAGUGGAAUUGGAAUGAAUAAUGGAAUGGGAAUGAAUUGGAAUGGCAAUUGGAUUGCCCCACUCCCCCAACACGUUUGGUUUAUUUUUGGAUUGGAAAUCGGAAUGAAUUAUUCCUAUUUCACUAUUUGGUUGAUACAAAGUAAAAAGAUAAUAGAAUAAUAUAAUACUAAUUUUACUUUUAAAUAUAAUUUUAUAAAACUAUCUAAAAUUUAUUAAAAAAAUUAAUACUACCCUCAAGUUAGAGCUAUGCCAAAAGAAAUUGAAUUUAUUUUAAAAAAUUUUAUGCAAGAAAUUACGAAAAAAAUGCCAUUUUUUUUAAUGAUGAGAAAAGAAAGAAAAGAUCGGUAUAAGGAGAGAAAGGAUGGAUAAAAUAGAGAAAUGUUGGGCUGGGCUUGAGGAAGAGGUGAGUGGUCUCCAAACCCGGAUUGAAACUUUAAUCCGGACUUGGAGACCGGAAUCAAUUUGUAAGCUAAUGGACCAUUCCCAUUCCGAUCCGGAAUGGGAGUCUCAAACCGAUUCCUGUGAACCAAACAAAAUUAGCAGGAUUUGAUCAAACCGAUUCCCAUUCCGAAUCCAAAAUGUACGAACCAAACAUGUGCUUACUUUCUUGGGCCUAACCAUCGCCUAAAAUUUUAUAGCUAGGUUUAGAUAUUUAACUUGUUGUUCAGACCCUAACUUAGCUUAUCAUUUCAAACUCUAGCUUAACUUGUCAUUUAGAACUUGAUUCAGUCGAGACUCAUCUCACACUUCCGGCCAGUGAUUGGCUCUGAUGCCAAUUGCGACAUGCCUACUUCUCAGGAGAUCACAUAUAAUGAAACUUUUCUGGUCGUAACAUGCUUAACCCUCUUAACCUCUUGGACCUAAC